rnacentral:sRNA from 1 species
UGUUGCGGUCCGGAGUCAGCGGGUUAUCAAAUCAGCACUCUUGGAUUAUAAUGGACUGGCCGCCCUGGUGGGCAAACCUACCCCAUUGACAACAACUUGACCGCAUU